UCUCAGCUCCAGUAGGCAGCAGCUCACUCCCAUCUCUUAGGGUUUCCGGCGGCUGCCUCCUCCGACGCCGACGGCCAGCUCUUCCGCCGCCGCCGCCCGCGUCCAGCUCUUCCGCCGCCGCCGCCCGCGUCCAGCUACCUUUCUGCACUCCUCCACGCCAAUGGCGACCUCCAAGCCGCGCCGUUCCAGUCGUACGAGGAAAACGGCGAGGACUCUGACGGAGAUCCCCGACCACAUCAUCGCGGAGAUCUUCCUCCGGCUGCCCGCCGCGGAAGACCUAGCCCGUGCCUCCGCCGCCUGCGUCUCCUUCCGCCGUCUCGUCGCCGACAAAUCCUUCCUCCGCCGCUUCCGCCGCCUCCACGACCCGCCCCUCCUCGCCUUUUUCGACCGCAACGGGUUCCACCACCCCCUCCCGCCUCACCCCUCCGCGCCAGCCGCCAGCGCGCUCGCCGACGCCGCCGACCUCUCCUUCUCCUUCUUCCCCAACCACGGCCGGUGGUCCGUCCAGGACAUCCGCGAAGGACGCGUCCUCCUCCUCCGCCCUGGCGCCUGCAAGCAGCCCCAGAUCUGCAUGGAGGCCGCGGUGUGCGACCCCUUGCACCGGAAGUACGUCCUCCUUCCCCCAGUACCUGACGACCUGGCCGCUUCGAUGAUGCACCCGGCCACGGCACACGAACCCUGGUGCGAGGCUUUCCUUGUUCCCCUUGAUGAGGAGGCGGAGACGGCAUUCGGUGUGAUGUGGAUGGUACAUUUCACAACUAGGCUGGCAGCGUUCGUCUACUCCUCGACCACUGGACAGUGGCAAGCUGUUGCAUCCAAGGAAUGGAAUGAGUUGCUCCUUGGACAGGGCGAGUCGACCAUGGUGUCACCGAUCGACCGUGACUUUUAUGGGCGCUAUUACGCCUAUGGCUGCUUCUACUGGGAGUCCACCGUGAUGGGGAAGAAAGAUUUGCUCGUGUUUGACACCCGGAGAAUGGAGUUCUCUAGUUGUGACCUCCCACCAAAAGAAUUGUGUCCGCUAGAUCUGGCCAUUGUGGAGGCAGGGGAAGCCAGGCUUGGCUUGUUCGGUAUCCAUCUUGAAGCUGGAAAGUUUGAUCUCUGUUAUUACAUCAAGGGAAACAAAUGUGAGAGUUCUAGCCAGUGGCAGCUGGAGAAGACAAUCCCAAUAUGUUCGGGCUGCCGGCCUGAUAUCAAAGCUGCAACCGGGAGGUACUUGCUCCUAGGAAAGUUUGGACCCAUGCGGUUCGUAAACUCAACUCCACACCAAGAUUUGGAAUAUAUCUCGGUUGAUGUCAAGACAUUGCAGCUUGCGAGGGUUUGUACCAAAUCUUCUGGGUUUGCCUUUUCCAAGACGUCGAUAUAUACCAACUUCCCGCCAUCGUUGUCUUCACCAAAAAUAUGAUGUGUAACAUGUUUAAUAUUCAGUUGAGAUCAAUAUUAUGACUGGGACGGGUGCUAUUCUGGAGAGAUGCUAUUUUUCUUCUGCGGUUCAGCCUGUAAUUCUGUAUACUAUAUUCGACGGAGCUGUGUAGCCAGAGACUAUUCUCAUCCUCGGAGCUCCAUGUCUUUUUUUGUGAUUCCGGCAGCAUGGACUUGGCGCAGAUGCCUUCGCCUUGCCUACGAGACGUGACUCAUAACUAAUCUAGGUUUGACGACUUGAUUGAUGGUGCUGGUGAAUUGUGUCCGACAUUGUUCAUGAGCUCUAGCCGUGUCUAGGUUUAGAAUUCGGUCAGUGUUAUGUAACCGACGUUGCUCAUAUGGUUGAUGUCCCCGCCUAUUUUAGAACGUAGCACUGGGAUUUAAACAGUUGUGAUCAGCAUUUGCACGAUGUAGUAACAUGGCUACAGUUUAAGCAGCCACUUUCAGGAGGCUUUUGCACUUGUAUGUGUCAGUGCUUGCAGUGACGAAUUGAAGCACCUGGUUUGGUUAGCCGACCUUAAUUAUCUGAUCUGAUAUGUUCUGUCUAGUGUAAAAUUGUGUGGAUGUUCUUGAGAGUGUGACAUUGGAAUAGACAGUGCAUCACUUGUCUGUGUU